rnacentral:lncRNA from 1 species
CCACCACAGAGCAUGCAUCCCUUUGGGCUUCUGCCGUGCAGAACGAAGUUAAGGGCUGUGAACCGCCAGACAGACUUCCCUUUUCUCCUCUGUCUGACUUUUCAGUUUGUCAGCUUUUCAGUUUUAUUAUGUUCAAAGAUGCUGAAAAGAAGAAAGAGGUUGAAAAAAAUAUAACUUUACCCACUCCUGUCAUUUACUAAGAAUUCCGUAGAUCAAACAGGACACGGAGUCAUUGAAGAGGAGGGGAUUGGAGUUCUGUUCUCAUUGUCGCAGAAGGGACUUGAUCCUUUCAUUUCCGACCUCUGCAUCCACAGAGUGGUGUGUUUAUCUGCCUAAUGAUAUAGCCUUGUCUUCCUUACUGAGCUCCUUCCAAGCGAUGGGAAGAUGGUUUUCUGCUGCGAACUACCUUCGCUCUUUUUCUCGACUCCACAGCGAGCCUGCUAGGUUUGCAAAGCCAGAGCUAGAAGAGUGCUCAUUAAUUCAGCUUCAUGAAGGGGAACAGACAUUGGAAUUGCAGGUUUGAGCCACCACGGC